rnacentral:rRNA from 1 species
GUGGGGAAUAUUGGACAAUGGGCGAAAGCCUGAUCCAGCCAUGCCGCGUGUGUGAAGAAGGUCUUCGGAUUGUAAAGCACUUUAAGUUGGGAGGAAGGGUAGUAACCUAAUACGUUGCUACUUUGACGUUACCGACAGAAUAAGCACCGGCUAACUUCGUGCCAGCAGCCGCGGUAAUACGAAGGGUGCAAGCGUUAAUCGGAAUUACUGGGCGUAAAGCGCGCGUAGGUGGUUCAGUAAGUUGGAAGUGAAAUCCCCGGGCUCAACCUGGGAACUGCGUUCAAAACUGCUGAGCUAGAGUACGGUAGAGGGUGGUGGAAUUUCCUGUGUAGCGGUGAAAUGCGUAGAUAUAGGAAGGAACACCAGUGGCGAAGGCGACCACCUGGACUGAUACUGACACUGAGGUGCGAAAGCGUGGGGAGCAAACAGGAUUAGAUACCCUUGUAGUCC